AGGGGUAGAGCUCAGUGGUAGAGCGCGUGCUUAGCAUGCAUGAGGUCUUGGGUUCACUCCCCAGGGCCUCCA
rnacentral:tRNA from 1 species